CGCUCUCACUGCGGGGAGGGGGCGAAGCUCAGCCUUUCCCGAACCGCCGUUUGCCUAGAGCGUGAAAUGGAGCGGGUCGCGCGCCCCGGCGCUCCUGAAGGAAGAAGGCAGCGUGGUGGCCCCACCCCGAGUCCCUGGCAGUCCAGACCCGGCGAAGGGUGAAGAAACCUGGGUCCAGAACUAGGUGGUCAGGGAGUCAGGCACGCCAGCCUCGGGAUUAGGGGCGAGGAGUGUGGUGCGGAGCUGCAUACAGAAGAGCGUGCGGCCGGAGGAGACCGCAGUCUCGCCGCAAGGGAGCCUCCUUAAUGAGAAUUUGACAUCAAGAAUGACAUCUUUGAGACCAGCCUGGCCAACAUGACGAAACCCUGUCUCUACUGAAAAUACAAAAAUUAACUGGGCAUGGUCGUGCACGUCUGUAAUCCCAUACUCCGGAGGAUCGCUUGAGCCUGGGGGGCAGAGGUUGCAAUGAGCCGAGAUCAUGCCACUGCACUCCAGCCUGGGUGACAGAGACUCCAUUUCAAAAGAAAAAAAAAAAAGACAUCUUCAGUUUUUGAAAGGCCCCAGAUUGACACUUGUAAUAUGAAUGUCACAUUCUGGGACAUGGCCCAUCCCAGAAAGUGGCUAAAAAAACUUCUGUAUAUUUACUCUGUAUUAUUAUAGUCAUCUGAAAAAAAAAAAUUGUAAACUUUAGUGGGGUUGAUAUUUUAACAUUAAAUUUAA